UACGAAGGGGGGCUAGCGUUGCUCGGAAUCACUGGGCGUAAAGCGCACGUAGGCGGACUCUUAAGUCAGGGGUGAAAUCCUGGAGCUCAACUCCAGAACUGCCUUUGAUACUGGGAGUCUUGAGUUCGGGAGAGGUGAGUGGAACUGCGAGUGUAGAGGUGAAAUUCGUAGAUAUUCGGAAGAACACCAGUGGCGAAGGCGGCUCACUGGACCGGCAUUGACGCUGAGGUGCGAAAGCGUGGGGAGCAAACAGG
rnacentral:rRNA from 1 species